CGGAGGGUGCAAGCGUUGCUCGGAAUUAUUGGGCGUAAAGGGCAGGUAGGUGGUCUCAUUUGUCUGGGGUGAAAUCCUUGAGCUUAACUCAAGAAGUGCCUCGGAGACGGUGAGACUGGAGUUCUGGAGAGGGUCGUGGAAUUCCCGGUGUAGCGGUGAAAUGCGUAGAGAUCGGGAGGAACACCAGAGGCGAAGGCGGCGACCUGGACAGAUACUGACACUCAACUGCGAAAGCGUGGGGAGCAAACAGGAUUAGAUACCCUGGUAGUCCACGCUGUAAACGAUGGGUACUAGAUUUGGCGGGUCUUGACCCCUGCCGAAUCGGCGCUAACGCACUAAGUACCCCGCCUGGGAAGUACGGUCGCAAGACUA
rnacentral:rRNA from 1 species